CCUCGUUGCAUUACCGGGACUUGUUAGGCUUCGUUCAUCUCGCUCCUUCCGUCACAACUCCUUGGCGCUCCCGCUCGUCCCCGUCUCUUUUCGUCCUGGAUCCCGUGAUUCAAUCCAUCGGCGCGUUCGUCUCGCAUCGUUGCUGUUAUCUUUGGCCUCCAAAUCCUCUUCGAGGCUGAUUUCUAGGGUUUCCUUCGUUCGGGAUCACGUUCUUGUUUCGAUCUGAUGGGGGAAUCGACGAUGGAGGAGAUGCCUCUUCCUGCGCUCUUCGAGCAGGCAAGAAAGAUCCACUCCAUGGCAACGGAGUCCUCUGUCGAUCAGGAGACUUUGAGGAAGGGAAUCGUGGCCCUGCGCCCGCUGCGAUGAGAUGGUAAGCAAGCUGGGGUUAUUUCCUCCAAUGAGACGAAGGAUGAUGUCAGCACUGCUAAUCUGAAAUAUCCCUGGUUCCAUUUUAUCUUGGAGAAUUGACAGAAAAAGUUGCACAAGAUGAUAGGAUACAAGUUCUCAAGAUAUCCCAGGACCAGUUGAAGGAGUUCAUUUCAAUUUGUGAGGCAUUGGAGCUUUUACCUGAAGAUGAGUUAGAGACAUUCAGGCAAGAAGGCGCAGAUACUUUUGCAGCUCAACGGGCAAAAAAGAUUGCUAGGUUCAAACGCCAGAGAGCUGCAGGAGCAAAGCUGCAAGAAAUUAAA